GCAGGUUGAAGCGCGGGUAAGACCGCGUGGAGGACCGAACCCACCUGGGUUGAAAACCGGGGGGAUGACCUGGGGCUAGGGGUGAAAGGCCAAUCAAAUUCCGUGAUAGCUGGUUCUCUCCGAAAUGCAUUUAGGUGCAGCGUCGGUUGAUUGCAUCGCGGGGGUAGAGCUACUGGAUGCUUGCGGGCCCGUGUCGGGUACCAAUAGCAGCCAAACUCCGAAUACCGUGGAUGUGUAUUCCGGCAGUGAGUCGGCGGGGGAUAAGCUCCGUCGUCGAGAGGGAGACAGCCCAGAUCGUCGUCUAAGGUCCCGAAGCGUGUGCUAAGUGGGAAAGGAUGUGGAGUCGCAUAGACAGCCAGGAGGUUGGCUCAGAAGCAGCCAUCCUUGAAAGAGUGCGUAACAGCUCACUGGUCUAGUGGUUCCGCGCCGACAAUGUAGCGGGGCUCAAGCACACCACCGAAGACGCGGCAGCGGCCGUAUGGCCGUUGGGUAGGAGAGCGUCCCGCGUGGGGCGAAGCGGCCGGGGAACCGUGCCGUGGACCGCGCGGGAGUGAGAAUGCAGACAUGAGUAGCGAGAGACGGGUGAGGAUCCCGUCCGCUGGAUGACCAAGGGUUCCGGGGCCACGUUCGUCGUCCCCGGGUGAGUCGGGUCCUAAGGCGAGGCCGACAGGCGUAGUCGAAUGGAUGAACGGGUGGAUAUUCCCGUACCGGCGGCGUACCGUAAGAGCCGAACGGAUGAGUACUAACCUCCGGUCGCGUGGCGUCGUUCCCUUCGGGGUUCGGGGUCCGCGGCUGUUGGGAGCGUAGUCCCGGUAGGCUAGCGCACAGGGGUGACACGGAAUGGGAGCCGGCCGCGGAGGUGGUUUUCCGUGGUCAAGCACGCAGCCCGUCCCAUAGGCAAAUCCGUGGGACGCAUAGGGUGAGGUGUGAUGAUGGGCGUCCUUUGGACGCGAUAUCCGGUGGUCCAGGCCGUCGAGAAAAGCCUCGGCGCGAGGGGCGUCGCCGCCCGUACCCCAAACCGACACUGGUGGUCAGGUAGAGAAUACCAAGGCGAUCGAGCGAAUCCUGGUCAAGGAACUCGGCAAAUCACUCCCGUGCCUUCGGUAUAAGGGAGACCCCCGGGCGUGAAGAGGCUUGCCCUCGGAGCGUUGGGGGGUGGCACAGACCAGGGGGUAGCGACUGUUUACCAAAAACACAGGUGCAUGCGAAGGCGCAAGCCGCUGUAUAUGCACUGACGCCUGCCCGGUGCCGGAAGGUUAAGAGGAUCCGUCAGCCCCUUUUGGGGUGAAGCGGUGAAUUCAAGCCCCGGUAAACGGCGGUGGUAACUAUAACCAUCCUAAGGUAGCGAAAUUCCUUGUCGGGUAAGUUCCGACCUGCACGAAUGGCGUAA
rnacentral:rRNA from 1 species